rnacentral:rRNA from 1 species
AACGAACGCUGGCGGCAGGCCUAACACAUGCAAGUCGAACGCAUCCUUCGGGGUGAGUGGCAGACGGGUGAGUAACGCGUGGGAACGUGCGCUUCAGCUAGGGAUCACCCAGGGAGACUUGGGCUAAUACCGGAUACGUGCGCGCGCAGAAAGAUUUAUCGCUGACGGAUCGGUCCGCGUCGGACUAGCUAGUUGGUGGGGUAAUGGCCCACCAAGGCGACGAUCAGUAGCUGGUCUGAGAGGAUGAUCAGCCACAUUGGGACUGAGGCACGGCCCAAACACCUACGGGAGGCAGCAGUGGGGAAUAUUGGACUAUGGGCGCAAGCCUGAUCCAGCCAUGCCGCGUGAGUGAUGAAGGCCUUAUGGUUGUAAAGCUCUUUCGUCCGGAACGAUAAUGACGGUACCGGAAGAAGAAGCCCCGGCUAACUUCGUGCCAGCCGCCGCGGUAA